CAACUACUCCCUCUGUCCCAAAUUUCUUGUCUUAGAUUUGUCUAGAUACGGAUGUAUCUAAUAAAAUGUGACUUGAUACAUCCGUAUCUAGACAAAUCUAAGACAAGAAUUUUGGGACGGAGGGAGUACUUU
rfam:Triticum aestivum genome assembly, contig: Triticum_aestivum_CS42_TGACv1_scaffold_253310_3DL